rnacentral:miRNA from 12 species
CAAGGAGAAAGGAAGGGUUGC